CCUACGGGAGGCAGCAGUGAGGAAUAUUGGUCAAUGGACGAGAGUCUGAACCAGCCAAGUAGCGUGACGGAUGACUGCCCUAUGUGUUGUAAACUUCUUUUAUAUGGGACUAAAAUGUUCCACGUGUGGGAUUUUGUAUGUACCAUAUGAAUAAGGGUCGGCUAACUCCGUGCCAGCAGCCGCGGUAAUACGGAGGAUCCGAGCGGUAUCAUGAUUUAUUGGGUUUAAAGGGAGCGUAGGUGGAUGGGUAAGUCAGUUGUGAAAGUUGGCGGCUGAACCGUAAAAUUGCAGUUGAAACUGGCAGUCUUGAGUACAGUAGAGGUGGGCAGAAUGCGUGGUGUAGCGGUGAAAUGCUUAGAUAUCACGAAGAACUCCGAUUGCGAAGGCAACUCACUGGACUGCAACUGACACUGAGGCUCGAAAGUGUGGGUAUCAAACAGGAUUAGAUACCCUGGUAGUC
rnacentral:rRNA from 1 species